rfam:Oryza rufipogon genomic scaffold, chr08
AAUGUUUGACGCCGUUGAUUUUUUUAAACAUGUUUGACCAUUCGUCUUAUUUAAAAAAUGUAAGCAAUUAUUAAUUAUUUUCCUACAAUUUGAUUAAUUGUUAAAUAUACUUUUAUAUAUACAUAUAAUUUUACAUAUUUCACAAAAGUUUUUGAAUAAGACGAAUGGUCAAACAUGUUUAAAAAAGUCAACGGCGUCAAACAUU